UACACGGAUAGCCAAAUUACCUGUAAUUCUGUUCAUAAUCCUGUUAUCUGUUUUCUCCCCACAAGGCUGCUGAAUAUGUUCCGGAAAAGGUGAAGAAAGCGGAAAAGAAAUUGGAAGACAAUCCGUAUGACCUUGAUGCAUGGAGCAUUCUCAUUCGCGAGGCACAGAAUCAGCCUAUAGACAAAGCACAGAAGACAUAUGAGCGACUUGUUGCCCAGUUCCCGAGCUCUGGCAGAUUCUGGAAACUUUACAUUGAAGCAGAGGUUAAUAUUUUCAUUUUUUUUUCUUACUAAUUGAUUUUUUUAUUUCACAAACAUGUUCUAGGUCUGAGUUGAGAAAUAACUGGUAGGACACUAUAUUAGUUAAUGUUCCUUACCUUGUAAUCUGGGGCUGAAAUUGCAAGCGCUGACUUUUAAGGUGUUUAACCGCAGCGAUGAUUGUUGCAUAGUGUUUUUGCAACAACAUUAAAACAUUUUAAUGGUAUGGAGUGCUUUAGACUUUUAUUUAUUUGUCGUGUCAAUUUAUUGCCUCCUGUGUCGUUUAUUUAGUACCGGUAAUUCAUUUCCUCUAUAUUUACCCCAACUGACUAAUUUGAAUGGUAUCCUAAGUCUAUUAGCCUUAACAAUAAAAUGGCAUGAUGUUCAAAUGUUUCUGGGUGGGUUUUGUUUUAACAUACUUAAAUAUUUUUAAGGUCUUAACAUAUAGAACAUGCACUUACAAAAGAACAAUUAUAGGAAAGAAAUGUUAUCGGCAUAAUUUAUUAUUUGCAGCAACCAUUCUUGGAACAGGACAAAUGUGUGGCUUACGGUGCAUAGAAUUACACUGCAAAUGUAGACAAUUAAAAAUGAUUGUAUGCACAAUAUUGAAAACAUGUUUGUAUACUUGAUUAAUGCAGUUAACUAUACGACUCAUAAUAAAACCACAGAGGCAGAAAA